GUUCUCACUCCAGCAGCACAUAUACUAAAAUUGGAAUGAUACAGAGAAGAUUAGCAUGGCCCCUGUACAAAGUAACACACAAAGUCAUGAAGCCUUCCAGAUUACU